rnacentral:rRNA from 1 species
GAGGAAAAGAAACUAACAAGGAUUCCCCUAGUAACUGCGAGUGAAGCGGGAACAGCUCAAAUUUAAAAUCUGGCGUGCCUCUGGUCGUCCGAAUUGUAGUCUGUAGAAGCGUUUUCUGUGUUGGACCGUGUAUAAGUCUCUUGGAACAGGGCGUCAUAGAGGGUGAGAAUCCCGUCUUUGACACGGACUGCCAAUGCUUUAUGAUGCGCUCUCAAAGAGUCGAGUUGUUUGGGAAUGCAGCUCAAAAUGGGUGGUAAAUUCCAUCUAAAGCUAAAUAUAGGCGAGAGACCGAUAGCGAACAAGUACCGUGAGGGAAAGAUGAAAAGCACUUUGGAAAGAGAGUUAAACAGUACGUGAAAUUGCUGAAAGGGAAACGCUUGAAGUCAGUCGCGUCUGCCAGGACUCAGCCUUGCUUUUGCUUGGUGUACUUUCUGGUUGGAUGGGCCAACAUCAAUUUUGACCGUCGGAGAAAGGCUUUGGGAAUGUGGCACCUUCGGGUGUGUUAUAGCCCUUUGUUGUAUACGACGGUUGGGAUUGAGGACCGCAGCACGCCUUUAUGGCCGGGGUUUGCCCACGUACGUGCUUAGGAUGUUGGCGUAAUGGCUUUAAGCGACCCG